GAUGAACGCUGGCGGCGUGCUUAACACAUGCAAGUCGAACGGAAAGGCCGAAGCUUGCUUCUGUACUCGAGUGGCGAACGGGUGAGUAACACGUGGGUGAUCUGCCCUGUACUUCGGGAUAAGCCUGGGAAACUGGGUCUAAUAUCGGAUAUGACGAUCUCUUGGAUGGGGUAGUGGAAAGCUUUUGCGGUAUGGGAUGAGCUCGCGGCCUAACAGCUUGUUGGUGGGGUGAUGGCCUACCAAGGCGUCGACGGGUAGCCGGCCUGAGAGGGUGUACGGCCACAUUGGGACUGAGAUACGGCCCAGGCACCUACGGGAGGCAGCAGGGGGGAAUAUUGCACAAUGGGCGCAAGCCUGAUGCAGCGAGGCCGCGUGGGGGAUGACGGCCUUCGGGUUGUAAACUCCUUUCGCAAGCGACGAAGCCUUUUGGUGACGGUAGGUUGAGAAGAAGCACCGGCUAACUACGUG
rnacentral:rRNA from 1 species